rnacentral:misc_RNA from 1 species
UUAACUUAUAUAUUACUCAGACAACACAAAAAUCAAGAGUUUAGGGUCCUCUGGCAGGCGCGGACCAGCCGAAGCCAGUGGUCAAGAGACGGGCCUGCCAAAGCAACAAAGGUAAUGUAAACAAAGGGUGGGAGAUCUACCCAGAAGGGCAAUUUCUCUGUAAUGAUCCUUCCGCAGGUUCACCUACGGAACGCAUGGUCUACAACCUUUUCAGAGGUAGGCCGGUCAUAUCUGAAUCCAAGACAGGUUGAAAAUUCUUGGACCACCUUCGUUUGAUCUGUGGACUGCUGUGUGCAGCUGCAUGUUACCCUGAUGGUAUCCAAGCAUAGUGAAGAUGUUGCCUACGUAGGUAGACUGGUAUCCAAGGCUUCUGCAGGUGGUGUUCCUCGAGAGAAA